rnacentral:rRNA from 1 species
AUUGAACGCUGGCGGCAUGCCUUACACAUGCAAGUCGAACGGUAACAGGUCUUCGGAUGCUGACGAGUGGCGAACGGGUGAGUAAUACAUCGGAACGUGCCCGAGAGUGGGGGAUAACGAAGCGAAAGCUUUGCUAAUACCGCAUACGAUCUCAGGAUGAAAGCAGGGGACCGCAAGGCCUUGCGCUCACGGAGCGGCCGAUGGCAGAUUAGGUAGUUGGUGGGAUAAAAGCUUACCAAGCCGACGAUCUGUAGCUGGUCUGAGAGGACGACCAGCCACACUGGGACUGAGACACGGCCCAGACUCCUACGGGAGGCAGCAGUGGGGAAUUUUGGACAAUGGGCGCAAGCCUGAUCCAGCCAUGCCGCGUGCAGGAUGAAGGCCUUCGGGUUGUAAACUGCUUUUGUACGGAACGAAAAGACUCUGGUUAAUACCUGGGGUCCAUGACGGUACCGUAAGAAUAAGCACCGGCUAACUACGUGCCAGCAGCCGCGGUAAUACGUAGGGUGCGAGCGUUAAUCGGAAUUACUGGGCGUAAAGCGUGCGCAGGCGGUUAUGUAAGACAGAUGUGAAAUCCCCGGGCUCAACCUGGGAACUGCAUUUGUGACUGCGUAGCUAGAGUACGGCAGAGGGGGAUGGAAUUCCGCGUGUAGCAGUGAAAUGCGUAGAUAUGCGGAGGACACCGAUGGCGAAGGCAAUCCCUGGGCCUGUACUGACGCUCAUGCACG